rnacentral:rRNA from 1 species
UACGUAGGGGGGCUAGCGUUGUCCGGAUUUAUUGGGCGUAAAGAGCGUGUAGGCGGCCAGGUAGGUCUGCUGUGAAAACUCGAGGCUCAACCUCGAGACGUCGGCGGAAACCAUCUGGCUAGAGUCCGGAAGAGGAGAGUGGAAUUCCUGGUGUAGCGGUGAAAUGCGUAGAUAUCGGGAGGAACACCAGUGGCGAAGGCGACUUCCUGGCCUGUUCUUGACGCUGAGGCGCGAAAGCUAGGGGAGCAAACGGGAU